GCAGCCGCGGUAAUACGUAGGUGGCGAGCGUUAUCCGGAUUUACUGGGUGUAAAGGGCGCGUAGGCGGGGGUGCAAGUCAGAUGUGAAAUCUAUGGGCUCAACUCAUAAACUGCAUUUGAAACUGUACUUCUUGAGUACUGGAGAGGUAGACGGAAUUCCUUGUGUAGCGGUGAAAUGCGUAGAUAUAAGGAAGAACACCAGUGGCGAAGGCGGUCUACUGGACAGCAACUGACGCUGAGGCGCGAAAGCGUGGGGAGCAAACAGGAUUAGAUACCCC
rnacentral:rRNA from 1 species